GCACGGAUGGCCGAGUGGUCUAAGGCGCCAGACUCAAGCAAUGAAGCUUCGCACGAGUCCUCUGUGCGGCACUGGGCGUUCUGGUAUCGUGAUCGAUGCGUGGGUUCGAAUCCCACUCCGUGCA
rnacentral:tRNA from 1 species